GACGAACGCUGGCGGCGUGCUUAACACAUGCAAGUCGAACGGAAAGGCCCUGCUUUUGUGGGGUGCUCGAGUGGCGAACGGGUGAGUAACACGUGAGUAACCUGCCCUUGACUUUGGGAUAACUUCAGGAAACUGGGGCUAAUACCGGAUAGGAGCUCCUGCUGCAUGGUGGGGGUUGGAAAGUUUCGGCGUUUGGGGAUGGACUCGCGUCUUAUCAGCUUGUUGGUGGGGUAGUGGCUUACCAAGGCUUUUACGGGUAGCUGGUCUGAGAGGGUGAUCGGCUACACUAUUACAGAGAUUCCGCCGACACUCCUACUGGCUGCAGCAUUGGGUAAUAUUCCCCCACGGGCCGAAGUCAUAUGCAGGAUCCCCGUGUGCGGAGUUACGACUUUCGGGUUGUAACCCGCUUUCGCCGGAGACAAAGCGUGAGUGACGGUAAUGAUCAGAGAAGCACAGGCUAACUACGUG
rnacentral:rRNA from 1 species